GACGAACGCUGGCGGCAUGCCUAACACAUGCAAGUCUAGGGGUAGCAAUACCACUGGCGCACGGGUGAGUAACACGUAGGUUAUCUGCCCCCAUCACAGACAUAACCCCGGGAAACCGGGGCUAAUAUCUGAUGAGGUCGCGAGAUCAAAGCUUCGGCGGAUGGGGAUGAGCCUGCGGCUGAUUAGCUAGUUGGUGAGGUAAUGGCUCACCAAGGCGACGAUCAGUAGCUGGUCUGAGAGGACGAACAGCCACACUGGAACUGAGACACGGUCCAGACUCCUACGGGAGGCAGCAGUGAGGAAUAUUGGUCAAUGGGAGCAAUCCUGAACCAGCAACGCCGCGUGUGGGAUGACAGGGCUUCGGCCUUGUAAACCACUGUCGGACGGGACGAAAGGAGGCCUCGGG
rnacentral:rRNA from 1 species